AUAGCGUAUAUUAAAGUUGUUGCAGUUAAAAAGCUCGUAGUUGAACUUCAGGCUCGGCGGGGUGGUCUGCCUCACGGGAUGUACUUCCUUGCUGAGCCUUACCUCUUGGUGAGCCUGCAUGUCGUUUACUCGGUGUGUGGGGGAACCAGGAAUUUUACUUUGAAAAAAUUAGAGUGUUCAAAGCAGGCAUAUGCCCGAAUACAUUAGCAUGGAAUAAUAGAAUAGGACGUGUGGUUCUAUUUUGUUGGUUUCUGGGAUCGCCGUAAUGAUUAAUAGGGACGGUUGGGGGCAUUAGUAUUCAGUUGCUAGAGGUGAAAUUCUUAGAUUUACUGAAGACUAACUACUG
rnacentral:rRNA from 1 species